UUUCCCUCUGUUUCAUUUGAUUUCAAAACACAAAAAACACACCAUGUUUCUUUAAAGUCUUUCCCAUUUUUUCUUCAUACUAAAAAGGAAAAAAAAAAACCAUCUUUUGUUGAAAUUAAAAAGAACGACCUUUUGUGUUCUAUCUGUUAACCUGCAUUGUGAAACACCAUUAAAGAGUCUGCCUUUAGGGCUCUGACAGUUGAGCCAUGUCAAGUUCUGGUGAUACUGUUGUUGACAAGGUA
rnacentral:lncRNA from 1 species